rnacentral:lncRNA from 1 species
GGGCGUUACACAAAGUACUUGUCACACACUGGUUAUUGAUUAAAACAUCAAAUUAUGUUCUUCUUCUCGUGUACCGCAAAGAACUCAAAGAACUCACAACAUAAGAAAACCCAGAAAAAAAAAGCUUAACAUCAACUAUUCUUCUUCUCGCGUACCCUACUCAGUUUCGAACAAAGAACAUCAACUCUUCUUCUUUAGUUCAACAACUUGUUAAUUUCUUCAAAGGUAGUUUUAGAAUUAAGUUAAAGUGUUGCUGAAUCAGGCAUAAACAAUUAGAUCUGACACAAAUUUCGUUCCUAGAAAGGGCUUGGACAACAGUUAUGGUGUAGAGGAAGAAAAUACUUAAAGUGAUGAAGAUGCUGAUGAAUCCAACAAUGAAGGAUUUUAUUGCAAUUACGAUGUUGCAACUGCCGUGGAUAGUGUGAGUGAUAUAGACAAAUUAAACUUAAAGGAAAUGAGUUGUGAAGAAAUUAAACUUGUGAAAAAUGUAAUAUUUAGAGUUGUUUAAAUUAUGCCCCUAAUUAAUGCUUUAUGGUUGAGUUUCUUUUUGCCUAUGUAAUUUAUUUGAGUAUGUAUUGAUCAAUUGAUAAAAUAGAAAAAAAAUAGGUUAAAUGUUUUUGGUCCCUUAACUAUUUAAUUAGUAUCACUUUGGUCCUUUAAUUAAAAUUUGAUUUAUUUUGGUAUCUUAACUUCUCUGAGUUACACAUUUUGGUCCUUUUCGUUGACGGAGAUGAUGUGAAGAUGAAGAGGAGGAGAAGAGGAUGAAGAAAAUCUAACGUUUUUGAAUUAAAACUAACGAAAAGGACCAAAAUGUGUAAGGAGAGAAAGUUAAGAUACCAAAAUAAAUCAAAUUUUAACUAAGGCUCAAAAGCGAUACUAAUUAAAUAGUUAAGGGACCAAAAAUGCAAUUUAGCCCAAAAAAUAAAUAAAAAAUCAGCUAGUAAAUUUAUAUUCAACAAAUUUCUAUUAAAAAUUAUUAAUCUACUAAUAAUUUUUUGAUUAAUUAAACUAUGAAAAAUACUAACUUGUGCUCUUAUGGCACAAGUGAAUGAAUCAAAUAUAAAUAGUUUAUUGAAAAAUGUGCAUUACAUUUAAUCUUUAACUUUUUAAUGAAUUGAAUGCACAUAAUUUUAGAGAAUAUUUUUUCUUUUAUGUUUCUUAACAUGUACCUUAAAAGCACAAGUUAACACUACCGUUAAACUAUUGACCACAUUGCUUGGUUUGCAGUUAAAACUAGAGUCUCCGACUCUCAAACCAGUCAAACUACUCAUUCCUAAUUUUUAGUACAAUUCUAUAAAUAAAUAUAAAAACUUAAUAAAUUGUUUAAGUUAUGCCAAACAAAGUUACAACUGUUACCAAAAAAACAAAGUUACAACAACUCUAUAAAUAAAUUGUUUUAAGUUAUGCCAAACAAAUUAAAUACAAAACAAUCAUUAUUACAAUGUGAGCACCAUUUGUUUUUUCCUCUUUGUCAUUAGCCUUUACAGAGAAUAUUCUGUAGAACCAGACCAGGGAUGGACAUAGACAAAGAUCACAUUAUUCUUGUUUGGAGAUACUAUAUUCAGCUCAUUAUCUGUAAAGUAGGUUACACACGUGAGAAAGAUUAA